rnacentral:lncRNA from 13 species
UCAUUGAGGACCUGGCCAGUCAGAACCCUGUCAGUUAAGGACCUGGCCAGUCAGAACCCUGUCAGUUAAGGACCUGGCCAGUCAGAACCCUGUCAGUUAAGGACCUGGUCAGUCGGAACCUUGUCAGUUAAGGGCCUGGUCAGUUGGAAGCUUGUCAGUUGGGCCCAGUCAAUGGGGGCCUGGUCAGUGGGGACAUGGUCAGUGGGGACACACACAGGGCCAGGGUGUGGGGAUGUCCAAUGCAGGGAGGAGGCGCAGACAGCAGGAAGGAGAGAAGAAAGGAAGGAGCUUCCGGAGUACGGAUGCCUACGACGUCACAACGCGUGGCGCCAUUUAUACUCCAUCGCCAUGUUCGCUGCUGCUUUCCCACGUGAUUCUCUACUCAACUGGCCCCAAAACCAUCCCUGUACUACCACGAAUAUCUGGCCGUGGCUCUUUGAUGGCAGUUUUUAUCCUGCCGUAGAAAUUAUCCUUGAACAGGAAAAAGUCCCCAACCCAACGUCUGGUCACUCGCCACUCUCAUCUGUCUUUAUAAAGAGCCACUUCCAAAUUCUGGGUUGCUUUUUGGAAAAGUAAUAUCUGUUGCGGUAAAAGACUGCAUCUGUGAUCUCAACUCUCUACUGGAACUGUAUAGAGGUGAUGCAUGGCAGCUAAGGCAGCCGAAGAACUCGCGUCCUGCGCUCCUGACCGCCAUCACCCCUGCAGUUCCAUCUUCCCUCCUCCCACAAGCCCCCUGCUCCUCAUGACUAUGGUAAGAGCUCCUCUGUGAACGUGGAAGAUGCCUGGGAGGUUGGCCGGUGUCCCUGGGGUGGCAGGUCCGAGACGGGGUCCAGGUCCUGCCUGGGACAAUCUGGGAAGAGCUUGCCGAUGGCAUCACAGGCACCUCAGCAAAGGGAAUGGCUUGGUUCAGGCCCACCCAGAAGGCCUGCUGGGCCCACUGCAAGACCUAGCUGAGGGCACAGAAGGGCUGGCCACCUGCUGAGACUCCUUCUUGAAGCCCCUCACCUGCCUGCCGUGAGCGCCAUGCCCUGUGGCUGAGCGGCAGCACUGUCGUCCACCAACCUGGGGAAGCAUCUGCUGCCAUCCAUCUUGCUCUCCACCUCCUGCUGCGGCACAUGGAAGUCCUGGAGGACGUGGCACUGCACCAGCACCCGGCCACCGGCCAGGUGGCUCAUCCCACAGCUCAGGCUCUUCCUGUGCAUGGAGAAAUCCUCCUGGAGGUGGCCCAUGGCUCGAUUCUUGGGCAGGUGGGGCAUGGAGAUGACUGGGAACUUCCCUAGACACACAUCCAGCUAGUUCAAGGGCUUGUUGUGCCAUGCAGCAGUUUCUGCCUGUGCGUGGCACCCUCUUGCAAGAGAGGUAGCUCUCCAUGCCCUUGAGCUUGCUCUACUGACUGUUGUAGCUUGUGGUGUACCGGCAAGGGUAGGGGCUCUCCUGCCACUUGGGGCCACGGG